AUCAAUGGGGCGAGCUGCUCUUCUUUAAAACAACAGCUUUGGCUAGUGUGUUUGCUUAGCAUAGCGUUCACAGGUAAAUUGCGUAAAUUGCAGCGGGAAAAUGAAAGAAAGAAAAUGUCCUCCAUGCAAAUCUACCAUUAAACUUCGCGCCUCUCGAGCCAAAACAACAACACGGUGGCGGCUGCCGAAAUGAAGAUGAAUGGGAGUUGUAGUUUUACACGGAACCAUCCCCUCAGCAGCGUCUUAUCUUUCUUUAACUAUAAAAACUACAUUUCCCAUGAACACCUCUCGGCACAGGUCUAACGUCCCCUGUGAGUGAAUUUUUUUAAGUAUUUCUUUUUGCGUUGUUGCUGAUUAGUUUAAUUUGUCGAUUCCGGCGUUUCAAUGUACUUUCCCAAUAAAUCAACUUGAUCGUAGAAUGAAAUAUUAGUUUUUACGCCUUUUUAUUUAUGCGCCCGCGCCGUUGACGUAACCGGUCAUUGCCAUAGAGACGAAACUACAACAAACACAGGCGUUUGAACGUCCACUCUUGCUGUAGAACUGUCAUAAUGUCAAAUCCUGAGCAUCAUCCGGUUCCAUGUGCUAAUCCUGGAAAUCCAGUCUUCUCCUGCAUGCACAAACCAGGAUCUCACUCAUCAGAUGAAGAUCCAGCAAUGGCCAGAUCUCAGAACCUGAUGUUUAAAACUACAUCCAGCGACUAUGGAGCUCGAUCAGCGACGUUUGAAUCCUCGCCCUGUUCCUAUCACCCCAUAUCCCAGACAUUCUCACAGCACCUCGGAUUGUGCGGGAUGUACCAGGACAAUUCCUUUAAUACCAGCUUGGACCACAGCCAUGUGUACAUCCCAAAUUACAAAACUCAAUUUCAGGGACAGUGACCAAACUCAUUUGCAUCUCUUUUUUGUGUUGCUUAAUUCAAGAUAGGCCUUGUUUUGUUGUUUUUGUAAUUGACCUUUCUGACCAUGAUGUACGUCAUGCUUGAUGGAUAUGGCUGUAAUAAACAUCCACUUAAAAAGCUGGGGGAAAAAAAGUUACAAGUGUACGAUGAAACAUUUCUGUAUUUAUGGUGUCACGUGACAAUUGUGAACCAGCAUUAAAAACAUACAUUUUUAUGUA